CACGUAGGGCGCAAGCGUUUGUCCGGAAUUAUUGGGCGUAAAGAGCUCGUAGGCGGUCUGUUGCUGAUCGCCUGUGGAAAAACUCGGGGCCUUAACCCCGAGCCUGCAGUGGAUACGGGCAGACUAGAGGUAGGUAGGGGAGAAUGGAAUUCCCGGUGAUAGCGGUGAAAUGCGCAGAUAAUCGGGAGGAACACCGGUGGCGAAGGCGGUUCU
rnacentral:rRNA from 1 species